AUAAUUUUAACUUAAUAAUUGUUUCUUCUUUUCUUUUAACAGAAAUCAUACCAAAGAGCAUAGCAAAGAGCAAAGCAAAGGCAUUGCCAUAUCUGAUGAAACUGGUCUGCCAGUAUGUGUUUCUCAUCGUUUCCUAACUGAAGCUCCAGAUUUAAUGAAACUGGAAAGAGAAAAAAGAUAUUACCUGGAAAAGAAGGAUGCCUAUUUACUCUCUGCCCUAGUUAUCCUAUCUAGAAG
rnacentral:lncRNA from 1 species